GGAGGGGUCGCAUAGUCCGGUCUAGUGCGCGGCACUCGAAAUGCCGUGAGCCGUGUGAACGGUUCCGUGGGUUCGAAUCCCACCCCCUCCG
rnacentral:tRNA from 1 species